GGUGUCACUGGGAAGGGACUGGGAGCCAGACUGGGAGCACUGGGAGCCUGACUGGGAGCACUGGAAUCCCCCUCCCCCCAUACUGGGAGCACUGGUUUCCCUCUUACCCCAUACUGGUGUCACUGGGAAGGGACUGGGAGCCAGACUGGGAGCACUGGGAGCCUGACUGGGAGCACUGGAAUCCCCCUCCCCCCAUACUCGGAGCACUGGUUUCCCUCUUACCCCAUACUGGUGUCACUGGGAAGGGACUGGGAGCCAGACUGGGAGCACUGGGAGCCUGACUGGGAGCACUGGAAUCCCCCUCCCCCCAUACUCGGAGCACUGGUUUCCCUCUUACCCCAUACUGGUGUCACUGGGAAGGGACUGGGAGCCUUACUGGGAGCACUGGUAUCCCCCUCAACCCAUAUUGGGAGUACUGGGAGCCCUUACUGGUGCCACUGGGAGCAGUGGGAGCUGCACUGGUGUGACUGGGAUCCUUACUGGGAGGAGUGGGGGGGCACUGGGAUCCUUACUGGUGCCACUGGGAUCCCUUACUGGUGUCACUGGUGUCCAUACUGGUGUCACUGGUUUCCCCUUUCCCCCAAACUGGGAGCACUGGUUUCCCCCUCCCCCCAUACUGGUGCCACUGGUGUCACUGGGAGCUGUACUGGGAGCACUGGGAGGGCACUGGUGUCACUGGGAAGGGACUGGGAGCCUUACUGGGAGCACUGGGAGCCCUUUCCCCCCAAACUGGGGGCACUGGUGUCCUUACUGGUGUCACUGGAACCCAUACUGGGAGCACUGGGAGGGCACUGGGACCUGUACUGGGAGCACUGGGAGCCAAACUGGGCUUACUGGGAAGGGGGACUGGGAGCCUUACUGGGAGCACUGGGAGCCCUUUCCCCCCAAACUGGGGGCACUGGUGUCCUUACUGGUGUCACUGGAACCCAUACUGGGAGCACUGGGAGGGCACUGGGACCUGUACUGGGAGCACUGGGAGCCAAACUGGGCUUACUGGGAAGGGACUGGGAGCCCUUACUGGUGUCACUGGGAUCCCCGGGCGAGGGGCGGGGCCGCCGCCGAGGAGCGCGAGUGGGCGUGUCCUUCCCUCCUCCCUCCCCCCUCAUUUGCAUCCCCCUCAUUUGCAUACCGCCUCCCCAUUAGCUGAGCGACGCCCUGCGCGCUCAGGCCCCGCCCACCUGGCUGGGCUCGGCGCGGGCCCUGGAGCGCGCGCUGCUGCUCUGCCCAUUCGCCGGAGCGUUGGGGGGCGGGGCCUUCCUCGGCUCCGCCCUCACCCUCCCACGUGACCGACGGCGCGCCCAACGGGAGGCCCGAGGUGAGGAACGAAGCCCCGCCCCCCUUAAUACCCGGAUGUCCCCCCUCCGGAACCCGGAAGUUUCCCCCUCCGGUACCCGGAUGUCCCCCAGAACCCGGAAGUUCCCCCCUCCGGUACCCGGAUGUCCCCCAGAACCCGGAAGUCCCCAAACCCGGAAGUUCUCUCCUUAACCUCCCCCCCAUUUAAAGGGCCCGCGUCCCCUUNNNNNNNNNNNNNNNNNNNNNNNNN
rnacentral:lncRNA from 1 species